rnacentral:rRNA from 1 species
UACAGAGGUCCCGAGCGUUGUUCGGAUUCACUGGGCGUAAAGGGUGCGUAGGUGGCCUGUUAAGUUUGAUGUGAAAGCUCAGGGCUUAACCCUGAAAUGGCAUUGAAUACUAGCGUGCUGGAGGUUUGGAGGGGGGACUGGAAUUCUCGGUGUAGCGGUGAAAUGCUUAGAUAUGACAUAGAACACCAAUUGCGAAGGCAGCUCGCUACACGAAUAUUGACUCUGAGGCACGAAAGCGUGGGGAUCAAACAGG